GUAUGGUAUGACUUUCAAUGGUAUUCUUGAUUUUUACAAUUCUUUGGAGUCACCAAUUUGAUUUUGUUUUCUGGAAAUUUAUUUGGGGGAAAGUAUUUUAUCUGUUGUUUGGUUGCCGAGAAACAAAAAAAGCAAGUGAGCGUGGAAAAGUUUAUGGCUUUUACAUUCUUGACAUGAAAUUUUUUGUUUUUUUUGUUUUUUUGUCUGGUUGAUGAUCGGUAAUUAAUGAGAAGGAUGAUCAAUUGAGGCUAUUGAUGAUCAAGAUAUUCUCACGAAAGAUUACCUUGUCCGAUCAGAAAUUCUUCGUCUCCACCUACAACAAUGCCGGCGUGAUUAGAGAGUAAGAUUCGAAGAGAUUGUUGAAUGAGCAUUUCAAGAGGCUCUCUAGCCGUGAAUUGCCAAUCAAAUCCGCUCAGAUUACUGAAUCAACCGAUCUCAAUGACUUAGCAAACAAUGAGCCUUGGCUUUCAUCUUCCAAACUGGUUGUUAAACCCGACAUGUUGUUUGGAAAGCGUGGAAAGAGCAGCUUUUCUUUGAAUCUGGACUACGCUCAAGUUGCCACUUUUGUCAAGGAGCGACUUGGCAAAGAGUAUCGGAUGGAGGGAGAAAGAGGAACGCAGAUUCAGACGCAGUCUGCUACUUCUAGAUCAUCUACAACAGGAGCAGUUAACAAGGAGGAUAUUAUGGAGCAAUUUCUGGGCACCCGCAGAGGACACAAGACUGACUGGAGUGGGUCGCACACUCCCACAAAAGGUUUAUCGAGGGGAUGCGUCAUUAUCUAGCUCACGCUCGGCAAGAUCUUUUACGACACGUUCGGACCCACACGUAGAAGAAUACUUACAACAGAGUUACCAACAAAACCUACAGCUGUAUGAGAGCGCUAGAAUAAUGCAGGACUUCAUCACUCAAAUGCACCCCAACAUGACUUUCCCAGCGGUUACUCCUCCUGUGUCGUAUGUUCGUCCAGGUCAUCCGCCUCUGAAUCAUUUCGAUGAUAACGAUGAUGAUUUUAGU